CCUACGGGUGGCAGCAGUGGGGAAUAUUGGACAAUGGGGGGAACCCUGAUCCAGCCAUGCCGCGUGUGUGAAGAAGGCCCUCGGGUUGUAAAGCACUUUCAGUGAGGAAGAACGCCUGGUGGUUAAUACCCAUCAGGAAAGACAUCACUCACAGAAGAAGCACCGGCUAACUCCGUGCCAGCAGCCGCGGUAAUACGGAGGGUGCGAGCGUUAAUCGGAAUUACUGGGCGUAAAGCGCGCGUAGGUGGCUUGAUAAGCCGGUUGUGAAAGCCCCGGGCUCAACCUGGGAACGGCAUCCGGAACUGUCAAGCUAGAGUGCAGGAGAGGAAGGUAGAAUUCCCGGUGUAGUGGUGAAAGGCGUAGAGAUCGGGAGGAAUACCAGUGGCGAAGGCGGCCUUCUGGACUGACACUGACACUGAGGUGCGAAAGCGUGGGUAGCAAACAGGAUUAGAUACCCGAGUAGUC
rnacentral:rRNA from 1 species